CGCAUUCGCUAGGGGUCCUGGAACAAUGUUCCGGGUGAGAGAUACCCUCCGUACCUGAUCUGGAUAAUGCCAGCGAAGGAAAGCGCAAAGUAGGUCCC
rnacentral:ncRNA from 2 species